CUACGGGGCGCUCCAGUGGGGAAUAUUGCACAAUGGAGGAAACUCUGAUGCAGCAACGCCGCGUGGAGGAUGACACUUUUCGGAGCGUAAACUCCUUUUAUAUAGGAAGAAGAUGACGGUACUAUAUGAAUAAGCGCCGGCUAACUCCGUGCCAGCAGCCGCGGUAUACGGAGGGCGCAAGCGUUACUCGGAAUCACUGGGCGUAAAGAGCGUGUAGGCGGAUUAAAAAGUCAGAAGUGAAAUCCUAUAGCUUAACUAUAGAACUGCUUCUGAAACUCUUAAUCUAGAAUAUGGGAGAGGUAGAUGGAAUUUCUGGUGUAGGGGUAACAUCCGUAGAGAUCAGAAGGAAUACCGAUUGCGAAGGCGAUCUACUAGAACAUUAUUGACGCUGAGACGCGAAAGCGUGGGGAGCAAACAGGAUUAGAUACCCCGGUAGUC
rnacentral:rRNA from 1 species